CCUUAAUUCUUACCACAUUCUAUCAUCAAGAUGGCCCGACUGGCUGCUAAAAAUAUAGUAUCCGCUUGCGCGUUAUCUUCUUUCAGCAAAGAAAGGACUGAUUGAGUGCUGCCAGAGACCAAAUAAAGGGUGCAGCAGUAGAUCUGAAAAGCAUGGACGAUGAGCAAUGGCAUUCAGCAGAUCGAGCACCUGGUUAUUGCAAGGUUGCAGUUGGAGAAUGGGUACAAUGAUUGCUGAAGAUGUGCAGUACAUGAGGUGAGCGGGCCUUAGAAGGGUAGUAACAUCAUCAGAGUGUACUGCACACACAGACAGAGAGACAGAGACUAGUAGCUAGCUAGCCUAUCAGAGUUGGUGGCAUGGGAUUCCUAUUAGCUGAUGGCCACAUGCAUGGUUCUCUUCCCUGAGGGCUGGGGUGGAUCAGUCGGACUUGCUUACUUUCGUGCACAAGUCCAUCCAAGAACAAGAAGAGGCUUGAUAUAUGCAGCCAUGCUGAUGCAGUACGAGUAGGAGCGUUACAAUCACAUGAUGUUGUCGUUGGCCUUGCAGCAGCUAGCUCGGCUGGACAGCCACAGUGAACACUAAACACAGCAGUGGUGGCGGUGGUGCUGUACUGUGUGUGCUCUCAAGUCAAAACAAAUUUGACCACUGGGGAGGGGACCGACUACCUACAAGAUUAUGCAAGGGUUCGGAGACAAGCGAAGAAAGGAGGAGUGUCAUACCGGACCCUCAACAACCCCUCACCAAACAACCAUGCAUAUGUAGUGUUCUUAGGACAUUCACAAUGCAAGACUCUAUUACAGAGUUCAAGAUAAUUAAUUACAUAUUAUUUAUGUUAUUUUGCUGAUGUGGUAGCAUAUUUAUUGAAGAAAGAGGUAGAAAAAAUA